CAUAAACACUUGCACACACAGAGCAGCCAGCACUGAGCAUCCUCCCAGGCUAGGGUCUGCAGGUGCAGGCUCCAAUUACAGCAGCCAGCUCCCAGUACCUUUUCAUCCUGAACAACAGCCACAGCCGGGGAUGGAAGAAGGCCCCCGGAAGGAGAGUGGACUGCAGAGAGAACAAAGCCUGCCCAAAGGUUGCUUGUGUUGCUUGAGAAACUUUAUAAGAGCUACGCCAUAACCGCCGUGAUGUAACUGAAUCUUGUUCAAAUAACGAUUGCUGCAAACAAAUUAUCUUAGUAGAUCAUAACUUUUUUUUUUUUCGACUUUGGAAAGAGAUUCCAAAAACAACUUAG
rnacentral:lncRNA from 1 species